rnacentral:rRNA from 1 species
AUUGAACGCUGGCGGCAGGCCUAACACAUGCAAGUCGAGCGGAUGAAGGGAGCUUGCUCCUGGAUUCAGCGGCGGACGGGUGAGUAAUGCCUAGGAAUCUGCCUGGUAGUGGGGGAUAACGUCCGGAAACGGGCGCUAAUACCGCAUACGUCCUGAGGGAGAAAGUGGGGGAUCUUCGGACCUCACGCUAUCAGAUGAGCCUAGGUCGGAUUAGCUAGUUGGUGGGGUAAAGGCCGACCAAGGCGACGAUCCGUAACUGGUCUGAGAGGAUGAUCAGUCACACUGGAACUGAGACACGGUCCAGACUCCUACGGGAGGCAGCAGUGGGGAAUAUUGGACAAUGGGCGAAAGCCUGAUCCAGCCAUGCCGCGUGUGUGAAGAAGGUCUUCGGAUUGUAAAGCACUUUAAGUUGGGAGGAAGGGCAGUAAGUUAAUACCUUGCUGUUUUGACGUUACCAACAGAAUAAGCACCGGCUAACUUCGUG